rnacentral:lncRNA from 1 species
CUCCAUCAUCUAGAACCGGACGCUUCUAACCUAACUCUGCCCCUGCAUCGUUGCCGGCUCCUGAACUACUAUAGCGCCUCCCUUCUUCCGAAGUGCCUGCUACACCGAUACUCCUGAAUCAACACCGGACCGCUGAGUAACAAUCUCGCACAUCCUCUGCAAAAUUACGUCCUGCUGCCUGAUCAUCUCAGUCAGAGCAGUCAACUGCUCUCUUAGAUCCGGGGUGCACUCGGCACUGCCUGCUCCGGCAUCUCAGGAGGUACGGCGCGAUCACUCGUCGGCGGUCAAUCUCGGUGUCGAU